rnacentral:rRNA from 1 species
GGCGGUAGGCUUAACACAUGCAAGUCGAGCGAGAAAGUAUCUUCGGAUAUGAGUAGAGCGGCGGACGGGUGAGUAACGCGUAGGAAUCUACCUAGUAGAAGGGGAUAGCCCGGGGAAACUCGGAUUAAUACCGUAUACCUCCUAAGGGAGAAAGAGGGCCUCUCUUGAAGCUCUCGCUACUAGAUGAGCCUGCGUAAGAUUAGCUUGUUGGUAAGGUAAUGGCUUACCAAGGCUACGAUCUUUAGCUGGUCUGAGAGGACGAUCAGCCACAUUGGGACUGAGACACGGCCCAGACUCCUACGGGAGGCAGCAGUGGGGAAUAUUGGACAAUGGGCGCAAGCCUGAUCCAGCCAUACCGCGUGUGUGAAGAAGGCCUUCGGGUUGUAAAGCACUUUAAGCAGGGAGAAAAAGCAAUAGGUUAAUACCUUAUUGCCGUGAUGUUACCUGCAGAAUAAGCACCGGCUAAUUCCGUGCCAGCAGCCGCGGUAAUACGGAAGGUGCAAGCGUUAAUCGGAAUUACUGGGCGUAAAGCGCGCGUAGGUGGUUUGUUAAGUUGGAUGUGAAAGCCCUGGGCUCAACCUAGGAACUGCAUCCAAAACUAACUCACUAGAGUACGAUAGAGGGAGGUAGAAUUCAUAGUGUAGCGGUGGAAUGCGUAGAUAUUAUGAAGAAUACCAGUGGCGAAGGCGGCCUCCUGGAUCUGUACUGACACUAAGGUGCGAAAGCGUGGGUAGCGAACAGGAUUAGAUACCCUGGUAGUCCACGCCGUAAACGAUGACAACUAGCUGUUGGGAGACAAUGUCUUUCAGUGGCGCAGCUAACGUUUUAAGUUGUCCGCCUGGGGAGUACGGCCGCAGGGCUAAACUCAAAGGAAUGACG